ensembl:snRNA U6atac minor spliceosomal RNA
GCGCUGUGUGAAAGGAGAGAAGGUUCCCACCCAUUCCCCUUGACGAGGAUGGAAGAGGCCCAUGGGCUUGACAACACACAUAUAGUUAGGGCACUGCCACCUACUUUGUGGCUUCUAACCAUUGUGUUUU